UACGUAGGGUGCGAGCGUUAAUCGGAAUUACUGGGCGUAAAGUGUGCGCAGGUGGCAGAGCAAGUCGAGUGUGAAAGCCCCGGGCUUAACUUGGGAAUUGCGCUCGAAACUACUUUGCUGGAGUGUGGCAGAGGAAGGUGGAAUUCCACGUGUAGCGGUGAAAUGCGUAGAGAUGUGGAGGAACACCAAUGGCGAAGGCAGCCUUCUGGGCCAACACUGACGCUCAUGCACGAAAGCGUGGGGAGCAAACAGG
rnacentral:rRNA from 1 species